GAUGUUGGACAGCCGGACCUUUUGAAUGAGGACUGCGUACGUGUGAUUGACAGACGUUGGCAGGACGCUUCGUGCCGCUUAGAAGAAAACUUCAUAUGUGAAAAAGAAGCAUAUCCUUAUGAGCCACCCGUUACUACCAAAGUUUCAACUACACAUCAGUUUGAGUGUACCUGCAGAUGUACGCGCCUUGGUAAAAACCUGAUAGUGA